UACGGAGGGGACUAGCGUUGUUCGGAAUUACUGGGCGUAAAGCGCACGUAGGCGGAUUUGUAAGUCAGGGGUGAAAUCCCGAGGCUCAACCUCGGAACUGCCUUUGAUACUGCAAAUCUCGAGUCCGGAAGAGGUGAGUGGAAUUCCUAGUGUAGAGGUGAAAUUCGUAGAUAUUGGGAAGAACACCGGUGGCGAAGGCGGCGACCUGGUCCGACACUGACGCUGAGACGCGAAAGCGUGGGGAGCAAACAGG
rnacentral:rRNA from 1 species